UUCAGCUUUUUCUUCCGCUUCAAGCGUUUAUUAUCGAUUGAAAACGCUUUGUUUCAAUUAUUUAUUCAAAUUUAAAUUUAUUUUUGUGUUUUUGUAAUGGAGCGAAUAAGUUCUGCAAACAUCCUGACUUCUUUGCGGGCAAUAGAUCUGCCAUCAUCUACAAGAGAGCUCAAUGUUUUCAUUGCCAAUCUGCCGUUAAUGCGAGGAGAGGAAAUACGUCAAAGAGUGAUUUAAGCUACGUCUCAAUAAGACAUCUCGUCAUCUGAAAAUGAUAAGGUUAAAUGUUUGUUUAAUCACAUUGCCUUCACUCUGUACUGGUAAAUGGAUUUCGAUCAAACUAUGGGUGUUAAUAAAUUAACUUUAGGCGUUUAA